rnacentral:rRNA from 1 species
AUACAGAGGGUGCAAGCGUUGUUCGGAAUUACUGGGCGUAAAGCGUGCGUAGGUGGUAUUGAGAGUCAUAGGUGAAAUCCCCAAGCUCAACUUGGGAACUGCCUGUGAGACCUCAGUACUAGAGUACGAAAGGGGUUAGUGGAAUUCCACGUGUAGCGGUGAAAUGCGUAGAUAUGUGGAGGAACACCUGUGGCGAAGGCGACUAACUGGUUCGAUACUGACACUGAGGCACGAAAGCGUGGGGAGCAAACAGGAUUAGAUACCCUGGUAGUCCACGCCGUAAACGAUGCAUACAAGGCGUAGCUGGGUUUGACUCCGGCUGUGCCGAAGCUAACGCAUGUAGUAUGCCGCCUGGGGAGUACGGUCGCAAGACUAAA